rnacentral:misc_RNA from 1 species
GAUGAAGAACGUAGCGAAAUGCGAUAAGUAAUGUGAAUUGCAGAAUCCAGUGAAUCAUCGAAUCUUUGAACGCACAUUGCGCCCGCCAGCAUUCUGGCGGGCAUGCCUGUUCGAGCGUCAUUUCAACCCUCGACCUCCCUUUGGGGAAGUCGGCGUUGGGGACCGGCAGCACACCGCCGGCCCUGAAAUGGAGUGGCGGCCCGUCCGCGGCGACCUCUGCGUAGUAAACCAACUCGCACCGGAACCCCGACGUGGCCACGCCGUAAAACACCCAACUUCUGAACGUUGACCUCGAAUCAGGUAGGACUACCCGCUGAACUUAAGCAUAUCAAUAAGCGGGGA